rnacentral:rRNA from 1 species
CCUACGGGAGGCAGCAGUGGGGAAUUUUGGACAAUGGGCGAAAGCCUGAUCCAGCCAUGCCGCGUGCAGGAUGAAGGCCUUCGGGUUGUAAACUGCUUUUGUACGGAACGAAAAGUCUCUUUCUAAUAAAGAGGGAUCAUGACGGUACCGUAAGAAUAAGCACCGGCUAACUACGUGCCAGCAGCCGCGGUAAUACGUAGGGUGCAAGCGUUAAUCGGAAUUACUGGGCGUAAAGCGUGCGCAGGCGGUUAUAUAAGACAGUUGUGAAAUCCCCGGGCUCAACCUGGGAACUGCAUCUGUGACUGUAUAGCUAGAGUACGGUAGAGGGGGAUGGAAUUCCGCGUGUAGCAGUGAAAUGCGUAGAUAUGCGGAGGAACACCGAUGGCGAAGGCAAUCCCCUGGACCUGUACUGACGCUCAUGCACGAAAGCGUGGGGAGCAAACAGGAUUAGAUACCCUGGUAGUCCACGCCCUAAACGAUGUCAACUGGUUGUUGGGAAUUCACUUUCUCAGUAACGAAGCUAACGCGUGAAGUUGACCGCCUGGGGAGUACGGCCGCAAGGUUGAAACUCAAAGGAUUGACGG